GUCUUCCAAAUAAAACUUUUUUAAAAACAAAAAAAAUUAAUUGCUAUGAAUUGUUUUUCCUUCACAGAUAAAAAUAUUAAAGAUGAAAUUUCACAGCUGAAGAGUAAAGAUGAAAAUAUUGAAGAUGGAAUUUCACAGCUGAAGAGUAAAGAUGAAAAUAUUAAAGAUGAAAUUUCACAGCUGAAGAGUAAAGGUAA